GGAUCGAUGAUGAGAAUAAUUGUCUGAGGAUGCUGAGGGACUCAUUCCAGAUGUCAAUCUGAGGUCCAGAUGUGUGGCCCUCCAAUAGGACAAAUAAGACUCUCAGAGCCUGGCUCUAUUUGGGGAUCCCUCAGUGACAACAUAGUACCUCUGUGAGCGUGCCUUUUCUAUCUCUCCGAAGAGGGCAUUAGCAUCCUGUCUUAUGAGUCAGUAUGCACUUUAGUAUGGUUAGUGACCCAAGACUCACUUUAUUUUGUUCAUUUUGAGCAGAGAAUUGUAGAUAGAUACAUAUAUGGGAAAUAUGUUCUUGAUUAACAAAUGAAAAAAUGAAAAAGUUUCAGUCAAGAAAGGUCAAGGAACUGUGAUGUAUAGUGAAGGCAGGGAACACUGCAUGCCUGUAUUAAAUAUUGACAAAGGAACCAAUUUUAGUGCUUUGUUAUUUUUACUGUUGAGUAUUUUCUGAGACCAUUUCUUUUUCUUCUAUUUUGUUUUGCUGAGGUAGAGGAGGGCUGGAAUGAGGUCCUCCACUUCAGAAAAUAGGGGUGAGUAGUUAAACCAACAUCCUUUGGAAUUCAUAUACGUCAUGCGUUCCAUGCCACAUCCUGAGAUCUUUUUGUUGAUUUUUUUAGUGGCUUACUGGAUAAUAUCUAAAUACUGUAUAUUUUACUUUGGUGAGUCUCUCCACCUUCAUUUCUGAAUCAUUGUCCUUUACAUUUUUAUUCUAUUUGAAUUUUGCAUGAAAUGACAAAUGUAGAAUUUUGCCCAAUUUAUUUUAUUUAUUCAUUUAUUUAUUUGGGAAGACAAAGUCUCUCUCUGUCACCCAGGCUGGAGUACAUUGGCCCAGUCAGAGCUCACUUCAGCUCUUCACCCUGUAGCCCUUAACUCCUGGGCUCAAGUGAUCCUCCACCCUCAGCCUCCCAAGUAUCUAGGAAUACAGUUGUCAUGGGAGGCCAGCCGCCUGCUGGCAAGGAAGAUGGUUGAUUCUUCUGAUCAAUGGAGGCCCUGCAGAGUCCUGUAGUCACUGUGGCCUGGCAUCCAUGGUGCACCCAAUGCUGGUGGAUGGCUUAGGACGAGGCAGUUGCUGUGGGAGGUGUGGUAACUGCUGGAAGGAAGAUGCUCAAUUCUUCUGAGCAACGAAGGCCACACGGAGUCCUGGAUUCUGUGUGGCCUGGCAUCCAUGGCGCACUGUGUGCUGGCAGGUGGCUCAGGACGGGGCAGUUAUCAUGGGACACCCGCCAUAUGCUGGCAAGGAAGAUGGUCAGUUCUUCUGAGCCACAAAGGCCCCCAACAUCCUGGAGUUGGUGUUGCCUAGCAUCCACGGUGCGCCCCCUGCUGGUGGAUGGCUCAGGAUGGGGCAGUUGCCGUGGGAGGCCCGCUGCCUGCUGGAAGGAAGAUGGUCAGUUCUUCUGAACCACAAAGGCCCUGCAGAGUCCUGGAGUCUGUGUGGCCUGGCUUCCAGGGUUCACCUCAUGCUGGUGGAUUGCUCAGGAUGGGUGCCGAAGGUCUUUAAGGUCGUCAGCUCACCUACUGCCCAGCCUGUGGUGUCAAAUGUCCUGCCUCUUCAAAUGUGUUUGGAUCGAUGAUGAGUCCCCCCAAAAAAACAUUCCUUGGAAAAGCUGAACAAAAUGAGUGAAAACUCAUACCGUCGUUCUCAGCGGAACUGAGGUCCAGCGCGUUGCCUCCAGCAGGGACUGUUGGAGUGAGGGAGAGCUUCCACUAGUCCCUAUAGGUUCCACCACCCAGGGCAUCCGCAGGUGCACCUCACCUAAGAGGGUGGCCAGAGACAGUGUCUUGUCAUGACAUCAGAAGCCCCAUGAGGAAGAGGAGGAGCCUGUGCUCCUGCCAGAGGUGGUGGCUGUUAGGGACAGUUGCCGUGGGAGGUCCGCUGCCUGCUGUCAAGGAAGAUGGUCGAUGCUUCUGAGAAACAGGCCCUGCGGGUUCCUGGAUUUGGUGUGGCCUGGCAUCCACGGUGCACCCCGUGCUGGCGGGUGGCCCAGGACGGGGCAGUUGCCUUGAGAGGCCCACCGCCUGCUGGCAUGACAGAUGGUCAGUUCUUCCGAGCAGUGGAAUCUCCAUGGAGUCGUGGAGUCGGUGUGGCCUCGCAUCCACAGUGCACCCUGUGCUGGUGGAUGGCUCAGGACAGGGCAGUUGCCGUGGGAGGCCUGCCGUCUGCUGAAAGGAAGAUGGUUGAUGCUUCUGAGCAAUGAAGGCCCCAUGGAGUCCUGGAUUCGGUGUGGCCUUGCAUCCGUGGUGCACCCCGUGCUGGUGGAUGGCUCAGGACGGGGCAGUUGCCAUGGGAGGCGCAGGCCUGCUGGAAGGAAGAUGGUCGAUUCUCCCAAGCAACAAAGGCCACGUAGAGUCCUGGUUUCAGUGUGGCCUGGUAUCCACAGUGCACCCCGUGCUGGUGGGUGGCUCAGGACGCACACUCAUUUCCUCUGCACCUUCCUGGUGUCAUUGGCAUGGAAGGAAGGCCCUUGUCCAAGAAGGAUGGUCUUCGUCUUGUGUGAUCUUUGAGAUGCCAUGAGGCCCCUGGAUACAAAUGGUGUGGGCUCCUUUGGAGGCUUUUGGAUUUCUCCUGAAUGUGGCGUUGGUAUGGAAGGAAGGCCAGUGACCGCAAGGGAUGACUUUGAUCUUGGGAGAUUUUUGGAGAUGGCAAAGUGCUUCUAAACAUGUUUGGCAUGGUCUCCUUCAGGCUGGUGGAUACCUCAGGAUGGUGGCGUUGGCAUGGAAGGAAGGACUGUGUCUGUGAGGGAUGAUCAUCCUCUCAUGUGAUCCUUGGAGAUGCCAGGAAGCCCCUUGACACAUGUGGCAUGGGCUCCUUCAGAGGCUUUUGGAUCCGUCGUGAAUGUGGCAUGGGCAUGCAAAGAAAGACAGAGGCUGCAAGGGAUAAACUUCAUCUUGGGAGAUCCCUGGAGAUGGCAGGGAACCCAUGGACACAUGUGGCAUGGGCUCCUUUGGGUGCCGGUGGAUCCCUUCAUACGGUAGUGUUGGUGUAAAAGGCAAACCCGUGUCAUGAGGGAUGGUCAUCAUCUUGUGUGAUCCUUGGAGAUGGCAGGAAGCCCUGGACAUACAUGGUGUGGGGGCUCCUCCAGAGGCUGUUGGGAUCCUCCUGGAUGUGGUGUGGGCAUGGAAGGAAGGCCAGUGGAGACAAUGGAUGAUCUUGUUCUUAGCAGAUCACUGGAUGUGGCAGGGAGUCCUAGGACAUGUGUGGUGUGGGCUUCUUCAGGUGCUGCACACUCGUAUUUCCGCUGCACUUCCCAGGUGGUGUUGGCAUGAGGAAAGGAGGUAUCUUCGAGGGACAAUCUUCUUCUUGUGCGAUCCUUGGAGAUGCCAUGAGGCCCCUGGACACAUGUGGUGUGGGCUCCUUUGGAGGCUGUUGUAUCCCUUCUGAAUGUGUUGUGGCCAUGGAAGUAAGGCCAGUGGCUACGAGGGACAGUCUUCAUCUUGGGAGAUCCCUAGAGAGGGCAGGGAGCCCCUUGACAUGUGGAAUGUGAUCUCUGUUGGGUGCUGGUGGAUCCCACAGGUGGUCUGGCAUGGAAGAAGGCCAGAGGCUGCGAUGGAUCAUCUUUGUCUUGGGAGAUUCCUGGAGAUGGUGGGGAGCCCCUGGGCACGUGCAGCAUAUGUGGCGUGGGCUUCUUCAGGUGCUGGUGGAUCCCUCAGGAUGAGAGGCGGAGGUAAACCACUGGCGCAGCCCUGCCUCCCACAGAUAAUUCCGGGUGCAGUGUUUCAUAUCUAGACUUGGACUUCUAUCCUACCAUACUUCUUUGUGUGCAGUUCAUUGUGGAACCAGCACAGAUUUUCAUACGAAAGUUAUUUCUUUUUAACCUCAAAAAGUGACAGAAUGGAGUGUAUCAUGAAAAAGUCUGACAUCAAAACCUCAAAAUGUGAUAUUGAUUGGGUGAGAUAGAAUUCCAUGGAAUUUCAUUGCCAAACCAGUGAAGUGCUAAUUUUGACAUUUGUACCAGCUAACGUAGCUGUGAAGAAACACACCAAUACACUUCUAAGGACAGCAUAGACCAAGAUCUAGGUUUCAUAUGGAUGAAUUUAUUCUUCCCUUUGAGGCAAGACAAGAAGGAAAGAAAGUAUUGGGAAUAAUGCUGCCCUCCCAUCCUCAAGGGCCAGUGGGAACUCUAAUAUUGAUUGGUUUUCACAGAAUUCCAUGGACUUUAACUGCUGAACCAAUGAUGCACUGAUUUUGUCACUUGUACCAGCUAACGCAUCUGGGAGGCAACAAAACAAUACUCUCCUGAGGUUAAUGUGGACCAAAAACUAGAUUUCAUAUAAAAGAGUUUAUUCCUUCUACUUGAGGUGUGACAUGAAGGAAAGUAAUGGAAAUAAUUCUGCCCUCCCAUUCUCAAGGGCCAGGGGGAAUUCAAAUAUUGAACGGAAGUGAUUUUGGAAUUGCAUGGAAUUCUCACUGCCAUCCCAAAGAAAUGCUGAUCUUGUCACUCUUACCUGUUUCAUUCCCUGGGGGCAGAACAAAAGGACGCACUCCAAAGAUCGGCAUGAACCAAGAACUGGGUUUCAUAUAAAAUAUUUUAUUCUGUCCUCUUGAGAUGUGACAUGAGAAAAGUAUUGAGAAUACUUCUAUCACCUCAUCUUCAAGAAUCCGUAGGAAUUCUCCCAUGGUGGACUUUACGGUUAACCUGAACAGGUCUUGGAAAAAGGACUUUAAACAUUCUCCUGUUCUGUGGAAUAAGUAUACUUUUUUCUGGACAUACACCUUGUCAGUGAGUUCCAUGUGAUACUAGAGUUGCAUAGAUUUUUAACCUUUACGCCAAUGAAGAUCUGAGGCAAACAUUGCCCCUUUUUUAGAAGUUUGCAUUUGUCACUGAUAACUGUAAUAAUUGAUCUUGUUGAAAAGCCUGGGAAAUGAAGAUCUGAUAUGUCACUUUUACCGGCUUCCUCAACUGAAAAAGAAUACAAUGAAACACGCUGAGAAUUUUUGUGCUUUCUCAGUCUUGCUGAUGAUCUUUCUAUGGGCCUGAAGCGUGGAGAGUGCCAGAGAGGCUGAUCCUCAGCAGUGUGGCAGAGGAAAGUUGGGUGCGACUAAGGGGUAUGCGGUGCCCACAUGCCACUGGGUCCUCAGCAGUACCACCUGAUUGGAAGUGAUAUUGGUGGAAGACAACAUUUUGCCGCUUGGAAUUCUCACCUCCACACCAAAGAAGUACUGUUUUUGUCAUUUGCACCAGCUUCUUUCUCCAGGAAAGAUCAAAACGAUGCACUGCAAGGUUAACAUCCAAUUUUUAAUACAUGUAAUUCCCUGGAUUAUUUUUGU
ensembl:lncRNA SNHG14 small nucleolar RNA host gene 14